GGUAGCGUGGCCGAGUGGUCUAAGGCGCUGAAUUUAGGCUACAGUCAUUUCGAUGGCGUGGGUUUGAAUCCCACCGCUGCCA